rfam:Manacus vitellinus contig21321, whole genome shotgun sequence.
UCCCUGGUGGUCUAGUGGUUAGGAUGCAGCACUCUCACCACCACAGCCCGGGUUCAAUUCCCAGUCAGGGAA